rnacentral:tRNA from 1 species
UCCCUUGUGGUCUAGUGGCUAAGACUCUGCACUCCCAAUGCAGGGGCCUGGGUUCCAUCUCUAAUCAUGGAA